AGUGAACGCUGGCGGUAGGCCUAACACAUGCAAGUCGAACGGCAGCACAGUAAGAGCUUGCUCUUACGGGUGGCGAGUGGCGGACGGGUGAGGAAUACAUCGGAAUCUACUUUUUCGUGGGGGAUAACGUAGGGAAACUUACGCUAAUACCGCAUACGACCUACGGGUGAAAGCAGGGGAUCUUCGGACCUUGCGCGAUUGAAUGAGCCGAUGUCGGAUUAGCUAGUUGGCGGGGUAAAGGCCCACCAAGGCGACGAUCCGUAGCUGGUCUGAGAGGAUGAUCAGCCACACUGGAACUGGGACACGGUCCAGACUCCUAAGGGAGGCAGCAGUGGGGAAUAUUGGACAAUGGGCGGAAGCCUGGUCCAGCCAUACCGCGUGGGUGAAGAAGGCCUUCGGGUUGUAAAGCCCUUUUGUUGGGAAAGAAAAGCAGCAGGUUAAUACCCCGCUGUUCUGACGGUACCCAAAGAAUAAGCACCGGCUAACUUCGUG
rnacentral:rRNA from 1 species